GUGUCAGCCGCCGCGGUAAUACGGAGGGUGCAAGCGUUAUCCGGAUUUAUUGGGUUUAAAGGGUCCGUAGGCGGAUGAUUAAGUCAGUGGUGAAAGCCCACAGCUCAACUGUGGAACUGCCAUUGAUACUGAUCAUCUUGAGUACAUUUGAAGUUGGCGGAAUAGGUCAUGUAGCGGUGAAAUGCUUAGAUAUGACCUAGAACACCGAUUGCGAAGGCAGCCAACUAAGCUGUAACUGACGCUGAGGGACGAAAGCGUGGGGAGCGAACAGGAUUAGAUACCCUGGUAGUCCACGCUGUAAACGAUGAUUACUCGGUAUUGGCUUCGGUCAGUGCCCAAGCGAAAGUGAUAAGUAAUCCACCUGGGGAGUACGGCCGCAAGGUUGAAACUUAAAGGAAUUGACGGGG
rnacentral:rRNA from 1 species